CACCAGCGCCACAAGUGGGAGCCGCAAUUAUUGGGCCUAAAGCGUUCGUAGCUGGUCUGUUAAAUCUUCUGUGAAAUCAUCUGGCUUAACCAAAUGGCGUGCAGAAGACACUGAUAGACUUGGGACCGGGAGGAGUCAGAGGUAUUCCUUGGGGAGCGGUAAAAUGCUAUAAUCCUUGGAAGACCACCUGUGGCGAAGGCGUCUGACUAGAACGGAUCCGACAGUGAGGGACGAAAGCCAGGGGAGCAAA
rnacentral:rRNA from 1 species